AUACAAUAUAGCGUAACACCGUUGAUAGCAGGAGCCUGGUUACAGGCUUAAACAUUCCCGCUGAGGUGAAGACCCGAACAGGUUCACGUGUUGAAUUCCUUAAAAGUCUUUGCCUUGCGAAAACGGCAAAGACUUUUUUUAUUCUAAAA
rfam:Chloroflexi bacterium 44-23 SCNpilot_bf_inoc_scaffold_751, whole genome shotgun sequence.